rnacentral:rRNA from 1 species
UACGUAGGGUGCGAGCGUUGUCCGGAAUUAUUGGGCGUAAAGAGCUCGUAGGCGGUGUGUCACGUCGUUCGUGAAAACCUGCAGCUUAACUGUGGGCGUGCGGUCGAUACGGGCAUCACUGGAGUUCGGCAGGGGAGACUGGAAUUCCUGGUGUAGCGGUGAAAUGCGCAGAUAUCAGGAGGAACACCGGUGGCGAAGGCGGGUCUCUGGGCCGAAAUUGACGCUGAGGAGCGAAAGCGUGGGGAGCGAACAGG